rnacentral:rRNA from 1 species
GUGCCAGCAGCCGCGGUAAUACGAACUGUGCGAACGUUAUUCGGAAUCACUGGGCUUAAAGGGUGCGUAGGCGGUUAUCUAAGUCACGUGUGAAAUCUUCCGGCUCAACCGGAAAACUGCGCGUGAUACUGGAUGACUUGAGUGAGGUAGGGGUGUGUGGAACUUCCGGUGGAGCGGUGAAAUGUGUAGAGAUCGGAAGGAACGCCAGCAGCGAAAGCGGCACACUGGGCCUUUUCUGACGCUGAGGCACGAAAGCUAGGGGAGUGAACGGGAUUAGAUACCCCGGUAAUCCUAGCCGUAAACACUGAACACUGGAGGAAGGGGGUUUCGGCCUUCUUUCUCGUAGCGAAAGCGUUAAGUGUUCCGCCUGGGGAGUAUGGGCGCAAGGCUGAAACUCAAAUGAAUUGACGG